rnacentral:sRNA from 1 species
UUUUUGCGUUAGGGAUUGAAAUGGCAUCCUUAUUUUGCUUUUCUUACCAUUAUGAAUAUGCAAAAAAAAGAUAUAGUGUAAAGCCCGUAUAAAC